rnacentral:lncRNA from 10 species
CCAAGCAUUUGGGGCAGGGAGAGAUUUGAAGCAAGAGAGACAUACUUUUGCUAGCCUCGGAGAAGCAAAUAGCUAUAUUGUAGAGUGGGCCACAUGGCAGGAAGCAGCAGCCUGAGAUAGCUGAGGAGCUGAGAGAGAUGCUCAGCUGACAGCCAGCAAGACAACAGAGGCCUUGGUCCUACAGCGGAAUUCUGCCAACAGCCAAUGAGCUUAGAAGAGGACCAUGAGCCUCAGGCAGGACUCUAAUCUGGUUGUGGAUCAAAAGGCCCUGCUUCCAGAGAGGCUCCUGCCCCAUACUCUGGAGGAAGGAAUGCUGCACAGAGAGACCAAGAAGAAUCUGAACAGGUCUGGCCUCCCUGGCUUUCCUCAUCAGUGUAUGAACUCACAUAUGAGAUCACACCCUUUUUGUCCAAUCACCUUUCUACGUGGUUGUCAAUUUUGCCUAUAAUGAAGGUUCCAUUAAAAACCCCAAAGGAUAGGGUUUGGGGAGCUUCCAGAGAGCUGAACACCUAGAGGCCAAUAGAAAGGUGAAGAACUCAUCCAUGUGCUGAGAGGGUGGUGCACCCCAACUCCACGGGGACAAAACCUCCUACAUUCAGGGCCCUUCCAGACCUCGCCCUUUGUAUC